UCUCUUGUAGUGUAGUGGUAAGCACUCCGGAUUUUGAUCAAAAGAGAUUUCUUUCUUUAAGGGAGGGAUGACUCGAUUGAAAAAUAUUCAAAUGUUCCGGCAACCCAAGUUCGAAUCUUGGCAAGAGAU